AUUGUAAUGUCCCUCCGUAGAAAGGUACUCUUAUUUGGGCCGCACACCGUGACAACUCACAAGCCAUUCGUACAAUGACGGUCAUACCCGUAAUUGAUUUGGCGCCAUAUUCUUUGUCUGUACCUGCGGACCACGUGGACUCCAAAGUUCUUCAGGGGAUCGCAGACGAACUCUGUAAAGCUUUUACGACGGUCGGAUUCGUGUAUCUGAAAAACCAUGGAAUACCACAAAACAUUGUAGAAGAGGUCUUUUCCACAUCAAAAACUUUCUUUGAGAAACCAGUGGAAGUAAAACAGGAAUACGCUCGACCAGUCGAUGCGAAUCACGGAUGGGUGUCUUUGGAAAGAGAAAAGUAAUUCUUUUUUUAAUGAUUUUGAUUUUAGAAAAUUAUAUAUUUAUCAAGUAGUUUCUGUGUUCGUUUUCAAUUCCAUUUCUGAUAAGUUUCUUUUCCUAAUAUGAGUAUGACUGUCACAAUAUUGCCAGAGUGGAGUUUUAGUCCAUGGUUGGCACUCAAGACGCAGUGGAAUAUUCAAAUAUGCUUUGUGGCCAACAACAAGUUGAAGUUGUCGAUCACACCCACAUAAUAAUACAAGUUUUACGAUAUCAACUAUCAUUUACAUGUACUUUUAGGUUAAAUCCAGAGCGGCCAGCCGCUGAUUUGAAAGAAGCGUACAAUAUGACUGUAGUUGAUGACCAACAUGUAAGUCUGGCUAUCAUUCGACGGUUUACUUUCAACAUAUAAGAAUACUGUUUUCUUUGUCUUUUUGUAAAUUUAAAGUACAUUCCAAACAAAGGAAAUGAAAUUAUAUGACAUUAUAAUUAUUGGUUACUUUACAGAUCUCCUAUUAUUGCACUCCACUACAAAAAAGCAAGGCUGGAUUUAUUUUUUAUAAAAGGGCAAUAUUGUAAAAUUACAACAACAGGGUUUAUAAUUGAUAUGUAUUUUUCUUGUUUUUAGUUGAUGCCCGUAGACAUUAUUCCAAACUUCUACGAUGUAUUCAAGUCUUUGUUCACCAGUGCUCAGGAGUUAGGAAACAGAGUCCUGGAUUUAAUGUCGAUUGGUCUUAACAUUGAUCGAAGUUUCCUCCGAGACUGUCACAAGAAUGUUGGCAAAAAGGACAACCAAACCACAUUACGGUCUUUGUACUAUCCACGAAUAUCAAAAGAGGUCAAGCCAGGACAGGUGCGUUGUGGGGAACACUCGGACUACGGGUCCAUUACGUUACUGUUCCAAGACGAUGUCGGGGGACUGGAGGUAAAACCUGUUGGGGCGGACUAUAUUCCAGCCACUCCUAUCCCCGGUACAGUGCUGGUUAACCUCGGCGACCUGAUGCAGCGAUGGACGGCAGAUAAACUGGUGGCCACGAAACACCGCGUACUAAUUCCCAAGGAAGAAGUGAUGCUGAGUAAGGGGAGACAAUCCAUCGCGUUCUUCAUUCAUCCUGAUGAUGACGUCAUCAUUAAGUGUUUAGACGGUUCUGGGAAGUAUGAGGAAAUCUCCAGCAUCGAUUAUCUCAACAUGCGCUUUGCUGUUACGUAUUGAUCAUGUUCCAUUUUCAAAAGAAGAUGUGCCUAUCAAAUAUACCCAUAUGAUUAUGAUUGUGAACAUAUAGUUAUAUGUCAAGAAACAUUAUCAAGACCUUUGCAAAACAAUUCAUCUACAAGUGUUCAAAUCAUGUCACCAUGAGUCAGGAAGUGGUUACAUUAAAAUGGUGGUUCCAAGUUUAACAUUAACGCAAAGUCCAAUAUACAUGUAUGUAAUAAUAUAUGAUAGUUAUAUUUUGUGAUAUUAAUAUGGAAGCAGUGACGAAGAAUAAAUGUUGAAAAAA
rnacentral:misc_RNA from 1 species